rnacentral:rRNA from 1 species
CAGACGAUGCGUCAUGCAUAUCAAUAAGCGGAGGAAAAGAAACUAACAAGGAUUCCCCUAGUAACGGCGAGUGAAGCGGGAAGAGCUCAAAUUUGAAAUCUUAAAGGGUUUCCCUUUACGAAUUGUAGUUUAAAGAAGUGUUUUCUGUUGAGGUUUUGGUAAAAGUUCUUUGGAAUAGGACAUCAUAGAGGGUGAGAAUCCCGUAUUUGACCUUUACUUUCAACUUUGUGAUACACUUUCAAAGAGUCGGAUUGUUUGGGAAUGCAGUCCAAAAUGGGUGGUAAAUUUCAUCUAAAGCUAAAUAUUGGCGAGAGACCGAUAGCGAACAAGUACCGUGAGGGAAAGAUGAAAAGAACUUUGAAAAGAGAGUUAAACAGUACGUGAAAUUGUCAGAAGGGAAGCGUUUGACACCAGUGUUGUUUUUCUGAAAAUCAAUUAAAGAACUGUUUAUGCUAAGCUGUUUAGACUUUAUCAGCUAUACUGUUUAGUUUUGAGCUUUUCUUUAAUGCACUUUUCAGUUAACAAGUCAACAUCAAUUUCUUUUGCUGUAAAAAAGCUUGAGGAAGGUGGCUUGAGAUUCGUCUUAAGUGUUUAUAGCCUCUUGCCUAUGCAGUCGGAGAGAUUGAGGUCUGCAGCGUAGAUCCUUCGGGGCUAAAUGCAUUUGUGCUAAGUUAUAGCAUUUUAUAGACAACUUGUUGACUAUGAUUUGUCUUGUAGCUUACUCGCUCAUGUUAUUUUACCUACGCUUAGGAUGUUGACACACGCGCGUGCUCG